CUUACUAUAAAAGCUCAGGUAGACCCUCGUCUUGGCCAGUAAACUUAUGGGUGUUGAAAGUGCAUUAUAAUACGGUAGGAUUUUCUUCAACACCAGCAGAGCUUGCCUGUGUGACUGGAAUUUGACAGUGCUUGCUGCCAUACAC
rnacentral:snoRNA from 1 species